ACCUCCCGGCAGGAAGAGGCUCCGGCCUCAUUGGGUGCGUGAGAAGGGAAGGGUGGAUCCUAAAAGAUCCCUUUUACAGUUGGAUUCUCCCUCUUGGAUCUGGCUCUGCCUUAGUCCGACCUAGAGGGAUCAGCUUCGCCCACGCCCACUCUCACCCGGAACCUUUCAUCUCUUAUUGAAGCCUUUUAGGCCCAUUGGGAUGUUCAUUAGAACUCUGAAAACUACAGUUCUCCCCUUUAUGAGGACUGCACCACAGCUCGCCCUCUCCUGGGUUCCGGGUCUCAGUUUGUUGUCCAGGCCAGAGUGCAGUGGCGCAAUCUCGGCUCACUGCAGCCUCAACAUCCUAGGCUCAAGCCAUCCUCCCACCUCACCCUCCCGAGUAGCUGGAAGUACAGGCUCGUCUUGAACUCUGGGCUGAAGUCAUCCACCUGCCUCGGCCUCCCAAAGUGCUAGGAUUACAGGCCUUAGCCACCUCACCUAGUCCUCUGAAAUUUCUAAAUAAGCCAGUGCUGAAGGAUCUAGCCCAACUUCUACCAAACUUUGUUACCUUUUCCCCUUCAGUGGUAGGAAUAGACAUGAUUUAUUUAGCAAGGCCUGGUUGCAGAGUGAGCCCAUGGGACAGCCCUCUGAAAUUAUACUGCUUACAACCAUGCUGAGUCUGCAAGGACUUCGUCCAAGCCUUUCCGUCCAGGACCUCAAACAGAUCCAAUCACAAGAAGAGAGAUUUCAGGAAAGAGAAAAUUAUUCCUAUCAUCGGGGUUUUUGAAGAACAUGAAAUGACUGGGAAAAUAAUCAUGUUAAGUGGAAAAAAAAAAGAAAUCUAUCUGUUGUAAUUUUCAAAUAAUUUUUAAAUAAAUUUGAAAAAUUAAGAGAA
rnacentral:lncRNA from 1 species